rnacentral:rRNA from 1 species
CCUACGGGUGACAGCAGUGGGGAAUAUUGGGCAAUGGAGGAAACUCUGACCCAGCAAUGCCGCGUGAAUGAAGAAGGUCUUCGGAUUGUAAAGUUCUUUAGUCAGGGAAGAAGUCAAUGACGGUACCUGAAGAAUAAGCUCCGGCUAACUACGUGCCAGCAGCCGCGGUAAUACGUAGGGAGCAAGCGUUGUUCGGAAUGACUGGGCGUAAAGGGUGCGUAGGCGGUUGUACAAGUUAGAAGUGAAAUACCCAGGGCUUAACUCGGGUGCUGCUUCUAAAACUGUAUGACUUGAGUGCAGUAGAGGUUAGUGGAAUUCCGUGUGUAGCGGUGAAAUGCGUAGAUAUACGGAGGAACACCAGUGGCGAAGGCGGCCUGCUGGACAUUAACUGACGCUGAGGAGCGAAAGCGUGGGGAGCAAACAGGAUUAGAUACCCUUGUAGUC